rnacentral:lncRNA from 10 species
UUUCACAGCCACCCACUGAAGCCACUGGAGAUCUGAGGAAUCCCAAAGACAAGAAUGGGAAUCUCUCCCUUACCCUCAGAGAACCUUCAGAAGGCCAAGGGUUUCCCUUGGCCCCUAGGUGGAGGUAACCCAAACAGCAUGUGUCAGCUGAGCACUGGGCCUGACCUGCCCUGGACGGAAGUUCCUGCCUUGGAUUGGCCACUGGACCUGCCCUGGAGGGAAGUGCCUGACCUGGAUUGGCUGCUGUGGGCUAGCUGGGCUGGGGCUUCCACAGAAGAGCUGCCUUCUUGAAGGGUUAAAGCAUCAGCUCCAGGAAAUCAGGGUCAACCCGUGAUCUCCCAUUAGGGUUCAGGUGAUGGUCUAACCUGCUGUGCCUCCUCCAUCAUGGGCUUGAUGAACACUGACUGGAUUUGAAUGCCCAAAAGUCUGGGACUGGUAUGAACCUCUUCUUCCCCCAGGGACCUCAUGGGGAGGCCCUAUCAGUGUCCAGCAGAUCAAGGCAGAGUGGCUGGUGGUAGCCUUCAGCUACGCUUGGAGGCCUCCACUCUCGACUGGUGUGGCACUUCUGUUCUGGUUGCUGAGCUGGUCGGCCAUCCUAUGGACUCGAGAAUAGAUUGACUCGGUCUUCAUUGCCUCUUGGGGAGAGGGGUGGUCAGGAUUUUCUGGAGUUAGAGUUUUAAAGAUGCCCCAGGGAGGAUGCCUGGAGAAACGUUUGUCAGAGGGCGUGCAAACCAGAGCAACUCCAUCUUGAAUAGGAGCUGGGUAAAAUGAGGCUGAGACCGACUGGGCUGGAUUCCCAGACAGUUAAGGCAUUUUAAGUCACAGGAUGAGAUAGAAGAUCAGCACAAGAUACAGGUCAUAAAGACCUUGCCUAUAAAACAGACUGCAGUAAGGAAGCCAGCCCAAACCCACCACAACCAAGAUGGCGAUGAGUGUGACCUCUGGUCGUCCUCACUGCUACACUCCCACCAGUGCCAUGACAGUUUACAAAUGCCAUGGCAAUGUCAGGUUACCGUAUAUGGUCUAAAAAGGGGAGGCAUGAAUAAUCCACCCCUUGUUUAGCAUAUCAUCAAGAAAUAACCAUAAAAAUGGGCAACCCGCAGCCCUCAGGGCUACUCUGUCUAUGGAGUAGCCAUUCUUUUAUUCUUCUGCUUUUUUUUUUUUUGAGACGGAGUUUUGCUCUUGUUUCCCAGGCUGGAGUGCAGUGGCACAAUUUCGGCUCACUGCAACCUCCACCUCCUGAGUUCAAGCGAUUCUCCUGCCUCAGCCUCCAGAGUAGCUGGGAUUACAGGCAUGUGUCACCACGCCCGGCUAAUUUUUGUAUUUUUAGUAGAGAUGGGGUUUCUCCAUGUUGGUCAGGCUGGUCUCGAACUCCCAACCCAGGUGAUCCACCCACCUCGGCCUCCCAAAGUGUUGGGAUUACAGGCAUGAGCCACCGCACCUGGCCCUAUUCUUCUACUUUCUUAAUAAACCUGCUUUCACUUUACUCUAUGGACUUGCCCUGAAUUCUUUCUUGUGCAAGAUCCAAGAACUCUCUCUUGGGGUCUGGAUCAGGACCCCUUUCCUGUAACACAAUGACCAUUUUAAGGAGAGGGCGUACAGAUUGCAAGCAUGGGAAGAAAAAUAAGAACUUAGCCCUAACCUAGACUCUGAAGGAGGCUCCUUGUGACAGUCUUGGAGCCUGAUUUUGCAGAGCCUGGUUCUCACUAGGGCACUAGCACCUGGGGCAUGAGGACGCGCCUGAAGUACUGUCCUUGGAUUUUCCUCAUUGCAUCAACAAACUGAGAUACCAGAAGCUCUGAGAACAUGUUACUUCAGAGAUUGAAAUUAUAGACUCGUAGCAGUCAAA